UGGUUCUUCUCUUUUGUUGUCCUUGUUAAUGUUGGCUCCUCCCUUUCAUCCCCACCUCAUUUUCAAAAACAUGUCACCUUUUAUCAUCCCCUUUCAUCUACUUCCACUGUGAGAAGCCCAGCCUUGAAUAAGUCAAGUUAAAGACUGAAGAAUGACCUGUGGAGAAUUGGUCUCUCAGUGGUGAUAUCUCCUACUCAUCGACGUUUGAUUUCCUCAAACAGGUGAGAAAAUGAGACCCAAAGAUGUCAAGGGACUUGCUUAAAACUAUGCAGAGAGCAGGUAAGAUGGUAGCGGUGGUCCAUGCAUUAUCGUACAAUACAUAUUUCCAUGCUCAUCGUGGAGUGAAAGAAGACACAUAUCACUUACACUAAAGAAAAAUUCACGGAGGAAAUGAAGAGAGGAAUGGAAUGCUUCGAUGUUCAUUCAGACUCCAGGAGCUCUGCUUUGAUUAAUCGGGGAGCACAGGACAUC
rnacentral:lncRNA from 1 species